rnacentral:rRNA from 1 species
AUUGAACGCUGGCGGCAGGCUUAACACAUGCAAGUCGAGCGGAGAGAGGUAGCUUGCUACUGAACUUAGCGGCGGACGGGUGAGUAAUGCUUAGGAAUCUGCCUAUUAGUGGGGGACAACAUUUCGAAAGGAAUGCUAAUACCGCAUACGUCCUAAGGGAGAAAGCAGGGGAUCUUCGGACCUUGCGCCAAUAGAUGAGCCAAAGUCGGAUUAGAUAGCUGGUGGGGUAAAGGCCUACCAAGGCGACGAGCUGUAGCGGGUCUGAGAGGAUGAUCCGCCACACUGGGACUGAGACACGGCCCAGACUCCUACGGGAGGCAGCAGUGGGGAAUAUUGGACAAUGGGCGCAAGCCUGAUCCAGCCAUGCCGCGUGUGUGAAGAAGGCCUUAUGGUUGUAAAGCACUUUAAGCGAGGAGGAGGCUACUUUAGAUAAUACCUAGAGAUAGUGGACGUUACUCGCAGAAUAAGCACCGGCUAACUCUGUGCCAGCCGCCGCAGUAAGAC